UCUGCCACUGGGCGCGGGGCCCUCUUAGGCGCGGGGCCCGAUUCAGGGGAAUUGGUGGAAUUGGCCUAAAGCCAGCCCUGGUAACAGCUGACUGCCAAGUUGCUGUCUUAGCUGCCCCUGGACGGUGGAAGUUUUUCAGUGUUUCGCAAGCCUGCAGAUUGCUGCGUACUAAUGAUAACCCCCGAGAAAGCAGGGUCCCUACUGCUUCCCAGCAGAUAGCGCUGCUGGGGCAGGUCGCUGGGGCUAAGGCAGUGCGGGGUUUCCCGAGAAGUGAACCAGUCUCCUAAAGGGAGCAACAGCAGCCUCGGGCAGAGCUGUGCCGCGGAACUGGAGCAGCGAUGGGCGCUGCACCCCAGGGAGAGCCGGGAACUGGCCGGAGCAGCGAGGGAGACUGGGGCAGGAGAAGAAGCGGGCGGGACCCGUCCCGCUCUCUGCUCCGGCCAUUCCCCCACCCCGGCGUCAUUGUAAGAAUUUGGGCCACGGCGCCUUCCUCCUUAGCCUGACAUAGCUCGUCCAAAGCACACGUGCAGCCUAUGGCCCGAGCCGGCCUCCCUCGCCCCGGGGCACACGGGCUGCCCCGCCGCGCGGCCACAGCCGCGUGUUUGUAAUUCAACAGGAAUAUCGAGCCACGAAGCUCUCGGUCUCAGGAAACUCGGUUAUCAACAUUCAAGGGAAACCGCCCCUGGCAGGGCAGGGCAGGGCGUGCUGGGCACGGGGUGUGGAUCGCUGCUCCGGGGGGGAAGGUGUCCGGAUUUGGGGUUCCGCGCGGGGAUCCCGGCCCCCGGGCCGAUCCCUGAGCCCAGCCCUUGGCGCGGGGCCGGGGCAGGCGGGGCCCGGCUGAAGUGGAUUUCUCCGGCCGCUCCGCCCCCUCUGCCCCGGGAAUGUCCCGGCCGGGUCCCCGCGGGGAUAAAAGCGGCUGCAGGGCGCUGCGGAGGCUCAGAGCUGAGCCGAGCCCAGAUCCCCAGCACCAGCCUCCGCUGCCAGCCCGGACCAUGAGCCGCCCCCGGAGCCUCGCCCCCGGCAGCCCCCUGCUGCUGCUGCUGCUGGCCUGCGCCGCGCUGUGCCGGGUAAGAUACCUGUGGACCAACCUGCCUUGACAGACACCGUCAUUCCGAUGGACCGAAAAUAAGGAUUUAACUUACCCAUUGCAAGCGGAGAAUUUAGAGGGAUAACACCUGUGUAUUAGCAAACAUGUUAACCUGAGCUAUGGGCGGAGCCAUUAUGUCAUCUUUUAGACUAUUGGCUUAUUGUGCUAAUCUUGUCUUGCCGCUAGAACCUAUCCAGGGGCUCGGGAACUUCCACCCCGUCGCUUCUCUCCGCCCACUGGCACCCUAUAUCAUCUAUUGUAAUCAAUUGUUUAGCCGUGUCUCACUGAGCCUAAUAAGCGAAGUGACACUCCGCCAGCGCUGUGCGUAAUAAACCCUCGUGCUUGACUCUA